GAAUGCUGACAUAAGUAACGAUAAAGCGGGUGAAAAGCCCGCUCGCCGGAAGACCAAGGGUUCCUGUCCAACGUUAAUCGGGGCAGGGUGAGUCGACCCCUAAGGCGAGGCCGAAAGGCGUAGUCGAUGGGAAACGGGUUAAUAUUCCCGUACUUGGUGUUACUGCGAAGGGGGGACGGAGAAGGCUAUGUUGGCCGGGCGACGGUUGUCCCGGUUUAAGCGUGUAGGCUGGUUUUCCAGGCAAAUCCGGAAAAUCAAGGCUGAGGCGUGACGACGAGGCACUACGGUGCUGAAGCAACAAAUGCCCUGCUUCCAGGAAAAGCCUCUAAGCAUCAGGUAACAUCAAAUCGUACCCCAAACCGACACAGGUGGUCAGGUAGAGAAUACCAAGGCGCUUGAGAGAACUCGGGUGAAGGAACUAGGCAAAAUGGUGCCGUAACUUCGGGAGAAGGCACGCUGACACGUAGGUGAAGUGAUUUACUCAUGGAGCUGAAGUCAGUCGAAGAUACCAGCUGGCUGCAACUGUUUAUUAAAAACACAGCACUGUGCAAACACGAAAGUGGACGUAUACGGUGUGACGCCUGCCCGGUGCCGGAAGGUUAAUUGAUGGGGUCAGCGCAAGCGAAGCUCCUGAUCGAAGCCCCGGUAAACGGCGGCCGUAACUAUAACGGUCCUAAGGUAGCGAAAUUCCUUGUCGGGUAAGUUCCGACCUGCACGAAUGGCGUAAUGAUGGCCAGGCUGUCUCCACCCGAGACUCAGUGAAAUUGAACUCGCUGUGAAGAUGCAGUGUACCCGCGGCAAGACGGAAAGACCCCGUGAACCUUUACUAUAGCUUGACACUGAACAUUGAGCCUUGAUGUGUAGGAUAGGUGGGAGGCUUUGAAGUGUGGACGCCAGUCUGCAUGGAGCCGACCUUGAAAUACCACCCUUUAAUGUUUGAUGUUCUAACGUGGACCCGUUACCCGGGUUGCGGACAGUGUCUGGUGGGUAGUUUGACUGGGGCGGUCUCCUCCUAAAGAGUAACGGAGGAGCACGAAGGUUGGCUAAUCCUGGUCGGACAUCAGGAGGUUAGUGCAAUGGCAUAAGCCAGCUUGACUGCGAGCGUGACGGCGCGAGCAGGUGCGAAAGCAGGUCAUAGUGAUCCGGUGGUUCUGAAUGGAAGGGCCAUCGCUCAACGGAUAAAAGGUACUCCGGGGAUAACAGGCUGAUACCGCCCAAGAGUUCAUAUCGACGGCGGUGUUUGGCACCUCGAUGUCGGCUCAUCACAUCCUGGGGCUGAAGUAGGUCCCAAGGGUAUGGCUGUUCGCCAUUUAAAGUGGUACGCGAGCUGGGUUUAGAACGUCGUGAGACAGUUCGGUCCCUAUCUGCCGUGGGCGCUGGAGAACUGAGGGGGGCUGCUCCUAGUACGAGAGGACCGGAGUGGACGCAUCACUGGUGUUCGGGUUGUCAUGCCAAUGGCACUGCCCGGUAGCUAAAUGCGGAAGAGAUAAGUGCUGAAAGCAUCUAAGCACGAAACUUGCCCCGAG
rnacentral:rRNA from 1 species